CAAAACCUUUAUUAAUAUUAUACCUACUUAUAGCAAAAUCAUUUUUUAAAUGAAUAUAUUUUGAAUACCACUUGAUUUACCAUCUAAACGUUCCUCUUGUUCUUCACAAAUGGGCCAAUUAACUAAUGCAAUCAUUGCAAAUUUCGCGUAAACAUUAUUGUGCUCAGUUCGAUCAGCUAGCUUCACUUUCCGAUUUCCGUCUCGGGUGUCGGGUAAUUGCAUAAUUAGGUUUUGCAGCCUUCAAUGUCACUUCGGUGGGUUCGACUUACGUAAGUGCGAAUAAGAGCGAACGGCUGGGCGAAAUUGAAAGGGUGGUGGCCACCGCACUGACAAGUAAAUAUACAAAUAAAUAACUGCUUCGACCACAUAAUAAACACAAUGCAUAACUAUAACAAAUUGAAAAGCAAGCGAAAAAAAAAGACUUUCAUUUCCAAUGCGUUUUUUCGCCGAGAAACUAAAUGCAAACCGCUUUGGCUCGGAAAAGAUCAUUGGAGCAUUGUAAUUUGGCAGUCGAUAGCCAAAGUUAAAUGCAAUUUGUUUCCUCCAAAAAUAGUAUUUUUAUUGCGCAUUGUUGGGCCAAGUCUCCUUGGUCUCCUCGCACACGGGGCGUAUACUUGAUGGGCAUUGCGGAUUGGCGAGGAAGCUCCUCCUCCGCCUUUCUGUUUAUGCACGGCACAAUUUUUCUGCUCAAUUUCAGUGCCCUGAGUUCAAAGAUUUUGCCGAUCACACCCUGUUUUGGUGAUCUGUUGUCUAACCAAUACGAAAAGUGUGUCGUGCAUUUUAAGUGGAGAUUUGAUUGGAUUUGAUGUCUUUCGGCCUGGCUUAUUGACUGUUUGCCAGUCUGUUUGUGUCUCUCGGCUGGUUUGCACUUUUUGACAUUUUGCCCGUCUGUGUGGGCCGAGUGCGGAGAUAAAUAUCUCACUAAAUAUGAUAAUGUAGCGUUUCAGUUUUAAAACGUAAAGGGAUCGAGAACAGAGACAACACCGUACUUUUUAAGUUAGUUUUUGUUGGAGGCCAUUCCUAAGAACCUGUGCCUAAAUCAAACGUCUGCAAAAAUCUUUAGCUGGCCAAAAUAAUCCCACGGAGAAAUCAAAAUCGGAGUGUCAAGAGACAAUAAAUGAUGUCUCAAAAAGUCGAUGCCUAGCAGGUCUUAUUGUCUUGGCCAAGUUCAAAUUCAAGGCUAAGCACGAUGACAAAUACCG